AGCAGGGGCUUCACCAGACUGCAUCUUGAUUACACCACCAAGAUCUGCCAUGACAAAAAGUUUGAUUUACGAUAAUUCAUUAGAUAAAACCAUCCAAAAAGCUCCAACAGCAUUAAGUCUAAUAUAAAAAAUUAAAAUUAAUUACACAACACAGUAAUAGAACUUAUGAAACAGAGGAAUUAUGAUAUUAGAUGUAAAUUGGAGUCGAAAUUUUCUUUGUUUGAAUCAAAGCCCAAAAAGAAAACACAGACAAAUUGGGAUUUUUCCUCACAGAACUAGCUUCCUUCAACACCACUUCUAAAACUUCAACAACAAAAAUUGAC
rnacentral:misc_RNA from 1 species